rnacentral:lncRNA from 1 species
CCUGUGCCCCAAAACUUCAUUGUAAAGGUAAGGAAACACUUAUUUCAUAAACCACCAAAGUAAUUACAUUUGGUGUAUGAUCUACCAUUUUCUCUUCAGUGUUUAGGAAUCUGCUUUUUGCAAUGGAGAAACCAUCUGCAAGUUUUCCCUGGAACUGCAGCCAACAGAAUGACCAUUUGCAGGAUGCUCAGAUGCAAAUCGGAAUUUCCAAACGAGCACGAUGCCUUAAAAAAAAUGAUCAGUCCCUAACAGCAGUCUGGCUGACGACUUCAAGCCAUGUGAAUUCUUCUGCCACCUCUUUAGUCACCUAGUGCAGCCUCUGGGGCUUUUCGUGCUGCCCCUCCUGUGUCUCCUGCUGCUCUGCCAGCCGGGGGAGCUCACGGACACAUAUGGGAACUUGUGAGGGAGCUCAGGGGUUUGUCAUCCAGCGUCACCUACUGAAUACCCAAAAAAGUUCGUUGCAAAAAUUAAACUCUAGUCGUGUUGCCUUGUGACCUUUCUGUGAAGCAAGUAUUUUACCAAAGCAAGCUGUUUACCACACUUGGAGCCUGAAGUCCUUCAUGGCUUCAAAUGUUAUGCGUAGCUAAGGCACGUUACUCCAAAGUUACUCAGCUGGCUGUUGCUCUUCCUCUGGCUUUCCCCUUGGUCUUUAGCAGGAGCUUGAUUAAACCAGGUAACCUGUCUGUCGACGCAUCGUUUGGAGCAUGAUUAAAGUUUGUCACCUUACAUAUUUUUCUAGCCAACGACAUGGCCUUUAGCUUGUACUUGGUGUGUGUUUCAGGUGGAUCAGUUCUGACCUCGGUACCACUGGGUUGCUGUAACAGGUCUGCUCUGAGGGGGGGUUUCCUCCUGGAUUAGGGCAGAGGCUGAUUUUGAUUAACGCAGACUCUGCUUGGAGCGUUGCAUUUUCCUUGUCGGGGUGUUCAGGUCUUGCUGUCUUCUGCACUGUUACUUUUUCUCCUCGUUGUGCGAGUGGCAAAACCUUUGCUGACUGGCAAAGCGUUGAGCACUGGAGUUCCCAGACUGCCCCAGCCUGAAAUGAAUGAGCAGCUUGUUUCUGCUCUUCUGAACCGGUACGUUGCUUUUUUUCUUU